AUGUUGGUAUGUGUUAAGCGCUUACUACGUGCCGAGCACUGUUCUAAGCGCUGGGGUAGCUACAGGGUCAUCGGGUGGUCCCACGUGAGGCUCCCAGUCCAUCCCCAUUUUCCAGAUGAGGUCACGGAGGCCCAGAGAAGGGAAGUGACUGGCCCACAGUCACCCAGCUGGACAAGUGGCGGAGCAGGGAUUCGAACCCAUGACCUCGGACUCCCAAGCCCGGUCUCUUUCCCCUGCCCCCAGCGCUUAGAACAGUGCUCGCCACACAGCAACCGCCAUUACGAUGGUGAUGUUAAGGAGGGCUGGGGCCGCGUCUGCGCGGGCCGCUCUCGCGAGAACUCAGAGGCGGCCGCUGACCCCGCCCCCCCGGCGCGCGACCUCGCCCCGGCACGCGGCGCCCCCUCCCUCCCCCCGCCCCCCGGCGCGCGCCCCGCGCAGCCCCAACGGCCGGGCGCGCGACGUCCCCCUCCCGCGCGCCGCCCGCCCCCGCCCCCUCCCGCGUGCGCAGGCGCCGUGGCCCCGCCCCCUCCCGUCCCCUCCCCUCCCCUCCCCUCCCCCCUGCAUCGUCCGGGCCGGGCGGUUGGGUCGGUCCUUCGGUCGUCCGGGCUUUGUUCGGGGCAGAAGGAUGAGCGGAGGGUCCGGACCUGCUGCGUCGGUGGCGGCGGCCGAGGCGGAGCCCCUGCCCUCGGCGCUGCCCCCCGGCCGGGAUUAACCCCCGCGCCCCCGCAGCAGUGUGCUGGGAGAGGCAGGACAGAUAAGGAGGAGGAAGAUGGAGACAAAUUGUGCCCGAUACAGCGUGAGGGUGUUCUCGUGUAUGUCGCCACAGACAGCGUGCUUAGCAAAAUGGAAAUAAAUGAGGUAAGUUAAGACUGUGAGCCCCACGUGAGACAACCUGAUGACCCUGUAUCUCCCCCAGCGCUUAGAACAGUGCUCUGCACAUAGUAAGCGCUUAACAAAUACCAACAUUAUUAUUAGGUUUAGCUCUGAGAUGGACCAGGCAGAAACAAUCCUGGAGUAGGGAUAGUAAUUGAGAAGCAGGGUGGCCUACUGGAAAGAGGAUAGGCCCCGGUGUCGGAGGACCUGGGUUCUAAUCCCGGGCGCCCCAUUUGCCCGCUGUGUGACUCUGCGCGAAUCAUUUAACUUCUCCGGGCCUCGAUUUCCUGAUCCAGGGAGUCAGUAUCUGUUAUCCCUCCUGCUUAUCAUUAUGAACCCCCUGA
rnacentral:lncRNA from 1 species